rnacentral:rRNA from 1 species
GACAGAGGUGCCGAGCGUUAGGCGGAAUCACUGGGCUUAAAGCGUGUGUAGGCGGGUGCCUAAGUACCUUGUGAAAUCCCACGGCUCAACCGUGGAACUGCUUGGUAUACUGGGUAUCUUGAGCCACUUAGGGGCAACCGGAACAAACGGUGGAGCGGUGAAAUGCGUAGAUAUGACAUAGAACACCAAUUGCGAAGGCAGCUUGCUGGACGGAUAUUGACUCUGAGGCACGAAAGCGUGGGGAUCAAACAGG